UUCAUUGCUUUUGAGCUUGUGGUA
rnacentral:piRNA from 2 species